rnacentral:rRNA from 1 species
UACGGGGGGAGCAAGCGUUGUUCGGAUUUACUGGGCGUAAAGGGCGCGUAGGCGGCCACCGCAAGUCAGUUGUGAAAUCUCUGGGCUUAACCCAGAACGGUCAGCUGAUACUGCGGGGCUAGAGUGCAGAAGGGGCAACUGGAAUUCUCGGUGUAGCGGUGAAAUGCGUAGAUAUCGAGAGGAACACCUGGCGAAGGCGGGUUGCUGGGCUGACACUGACGCUGACAGCGCGAAAGCUAGGGGAGCGAACGGG